rnacentral:rRNA from 1 species
AUUGAACGCUGGCGGCAGGCUUAACACAUGUAAGUCGAGCGGGGUGAUGGUGCUUGCACUAUCACUUAGCGGCGGACGGGUGAGUAAUGCUUAGGAAUCUGCCUAUUAGUGGGGGACAACAUCUCGAAAGGGAUGCUAAUACCGCAUACGUCCUACGGGAGAAAGCAGGGGAUCACUUGUGACCUUGCGCUAAUAGAUGAGCCUAAGUCGGAUUAGCUAGUUGGUGGGGUAAAGGCCUACCAAGGCGACGAUCUGUAGCGGGUCUGAGAGGAUGAUCCGCCACACUGGGACUGAGACACGGCCCAGACUCCUACGGGAGGCAGCAGUGGGGAAUAUUGGACAAUGGGGGGAACCCUGAUCCAGCCAUGCCGCGUGUGUGAAGAAGGCCUUAUGGUUGUAAAGCACUUUAAGCGAGGAGGAGGCUCUUUUGGUUAAUACCCGAGAUGAGUGGACGUUACUCGCAGAAUAAGCACCGGCUAACUCUGUGCCAGCAGCCGCCGCAG